UGGGGUGUGGUGCAGCGGGAGCACAGUGGCCUUUGAGGUUACGACCCGGGUUCGACUCCCGGCACUCCAA
rnacentral:tRNA from 2 species